GGCUCAGAACGAACGCUGGCGGCGCGCCUAAUACAUGCAAGUCGAACGAGAAUGUGUAGCAAUACACAUGUAAAGUGGCGAACGGGUGAGGACUACAUGGGUAACCUACCCUCGAGUGGGGGAUAACCAGCCGAAAGGUUGGCUAAUACCGCGUACGCUUCCGGGACUGCGGUUUCGGAAGGAAAGCGAUACCGUGGGUAUCGCGCUCUUGGAUGGGCUCAUGCCCUAUCAGCUUGUUGGUGAGGUAACGGCUCACCAAGGCAUCGACGGGUAGCUGAUCUGAGAGGAUGAUCAGCCACACUGGCACUGCGACACGGGCCAGACUCCUACGGGAGGCAGCAGUAAGGAAUAUUGCGCAAUGGGCGAAAGCCUGACGCAGCGACGCCGCGUGGGGGAUGAAGGUCUUCGGAUUGUAAACCCCUUUCGGGAGGGAAGAUGGGAUGGGGUAACCCAUUCGGACGGUACCUCCAGAAGCAGCCACGGCUAACUUCGUGCCAGCAGCCGCGGUAAUACGAAGGUGGCAAGCGUUGUUCGGAUUUACUGGGCGUACAGGGAGCGUAGGCGGUUGGAUAAGCCCUCCGUGAAAUCUCCAGGCUUAACCUGGAAAGUGCAGAGGGGACUGUUCAGCUAGAGGAUGGGAGAGGAGCGCGGAAUUCCCGGUGUAGCGGUGAAAUGCGUAGAGAUCGGGAGGAAGGCCGGUGGCGAAGGCGGCGCUCUGGAACAUUUCUGACGCUGAGGCUCGAAAGCGUGGGGAGCAAACAGGAUUAGAUACCCUGGUAGUCCACGCCUUAAACGAUGGA
rnacentral:rRNA from 1 species